AGUCCCGUGGCUCAGUUGGUUAGAGUGCAAUGCUCCUAACGCCGAGGUCGCGGGUUCGAUUCCCACCUGGGCCA